rnacentral:rRNA from 1 species
GGCGAACGCUGGCGGCAGGCUUAACACAUGCAAGUCGAGCGGGCCCUUCGGGGUCAGCGGCAGACGGGUGAGUAACACGUGGGAACGUACCCUUUGGUUCGGAAUAACGCUGGGAAACUAGCGCUAAUACCGGAUACGCCCUUUUGGGGAAAGGCUUGCUGCCGAAGGAUCGGCCCGCGUCUGAUUAGCUAGUUGGUGGGGUAAUGGCCUACCAAGGCGACGAUCAGUAGCUGGUCUGAGAGGAUGAUCAGCCACACUGGGACUGAGACACGGCCCAGACUCCUACGGGAAGCAGCAGUGGGGAAUAUUGGACAAGGGGCGCAAGCCUGAUCCAGCCAUGCCGCGUGAGUGAUGAAGGCCUUAGGGUUGUAAAGCUCUUUUGUCCAGGACGAUAAUGACGGUACCGGAAGAAUAAGCCCCGGCUAACUUCGUG